rnacentral:rRNA from 1 species
CAGUCCCGCGGUAAUACGGAGGGAGCUAGCGUUGUUCGGAAUUACUGGGCGUAAAGCGCGCGUAGGCGGUUACUCAAGUCAGAGGUGAAAGCCCGGGGCUCAACCCCGGAACUGCCUUUGAAACUAGGUGACUAGAAUCUUGGAGAGGUCAGUGGAAUUCCGAGUGUAGAGGUGAAAUUCGUAGAUAUUCGGAAGAACACCAGUGGCGAAGGCGACUGACUGGACAAGUAUUGACGCUGAGGUGCGAAAGCGUGGGGAGCAAACAGGAUUAGAUACCCCCGUAGUCCCUGUCUCUUAUACA